GCCUUCGUGGUGUAGUGGUCAGCACGCUCGGAGCGUAAUUGAAAGGUCCGUGGUUCGAGUCCCGGCGAGGACA
rnacentral:tRNA from 1 species